rnacentral:rRNA from 1 species
GAAGAACGCUGGCGGCUUGUCUAAUAAUGCAAGUUCAAGGAACCGCCACUGACUGCUUGUAAUUGGUCAUGGUGAGUGGCUAACGGGUGAGUAACUAGCGUGUAACCUACCUCUGACAGGGGGAUUUAGAUUAUUAACGACUGCUCAUUAUGCAUGGGCAAGGAAUCACCUGAUUCUGUGAGGAACGGUGGCGCGUCUAUCGUUCUUAUAUGGAUCUGGUGUGCACAACCCAUUUCGUGGGUUCACGGCUUACCGGUUGAAUCGUGCGAAUCCCACUC